rnacentral:rRNA from 1 species
CACGAGAGUGCCCUUCGGGAGCCCGAAGACAGGUGCUGCAUGGCUGUCGUCAGCUCGUGUCGUGAGAUGUUGGUUAAGUCCCGCAACGAGCGCAACCCCCUAUCUCUAGUUGCCAGCGAUUCGGUCGGGGACUCUAGAGAUACUGCCCCGGUUAACGGGGAGGAAGGUGGGGAUGACGUCAAGUCCUCAUGGCCCUUAUGCCCAGGGCUACACACGUGCUACAAUGGGCGGUACAAAGGGUAGCGAUGCCGCGAGGUGAAGCCAAUCCCAAAAAGCCGUCCACAGUUCGGAUUGGAGUCUGCAACUCGACUCCAUGAAGCCGGAAUCGCUAGUAAUCGUGGAUCAGCAUGCCACGGUGAAUACGUUCCCGGGCCUU